GAUGAACGCUGGCGGCGUGCCUAAUACAUGCAAGUCGAGCGAACGGACGAGAAGCUUGCUUCUCUGAUGUUAGCGGCGGACGGGUGAGUAACACGUGGAUAACCUACCUAUAAGACUGGGAUAACUUCGGGAAACCGGAGCUAAUACCGGAUGAUAUUUUGAACCGCAUGGUUCAAAAGUGAAAGACGGUCUUGCUGUCACUUAUAGAUGGAUCCGCGCUGCAUUAGCUAGUUGGUAAGGUAACGGCUUACCAAGGCAACGAUGCAUAGCCGACCUGAGAGGGUGAUCGGCCACACUGGAACUGAGAAACGGUCCAGACUCCUACGGGAGGAAGCAGUAGGGAAUCUUCCGCAAUGGGCGAAAGCCUGACGGGGCAACGCCGCGUGAGUGAUGAAGGUCUUCGGAUCGUAAAACUCUGUUAUUAGGGAGGAACAUAUGUGUAAGGAACUGUGCACAUCUUGACGGUACCUAAUCAGAAAGCCACGGCUAACUACGUG
rnacentral:rRNA from 1 species